rnacentral:tRNA from 1 species
GGUUCGAUGGCGUAGUUGGUUAUCGCAUCUGUCUAACAUUACAUGUUGCACAGAAGGUCCCCGGUUCGAGCCCGGGUCGAAUCA